rnacentral:rRNA from 1 species
CAGGGAAUCUUCGGCAAUGGGGGGAACCCUGACCGAGCAACGCCGCGUGAGUGAAGAAGGUUUUCGGAUCGUAAAGCUCUGUUGUUAAGGAAGAACGAGUGUGAGAAUGGAAAGUUCAUGCUGUGACGGUACUUAACCAGAAAGGGACGGCUAACUACGUGCCAGCAGCCGCGGUAAUACGUAGGUCCCGAGCGUUGUCCGGAUUUAUUGGGCGUAAAGCGAGCGCAGGCGGUUAGAAAAGUCUGAAGUGAAAGGCAGUGGCUCAACCAUUGUAGGCUUUGGAAACUUUUUAACUUGAGUGCGGAAAGGGAGUGUGGAAUUCCAUGUGUAGCGGUAAAAUACGUAAAUAUAUGGAGGAACGCCGGUGGCGAAAGCGGCUCUCUGGUCUGUAACUGACGCUGAGGCUCGAAAGCGUGGGGAGCGAACAGG